CACGUGAGUAACCUGCCCUUCACUCUGGGAUAAGCCUUGGAAACGAGGUCUAAUACUGGAUAUGACCUGGCCCUGCAUGGGGUUGGGUGGAAAGUUUUUCGGUGAGGGAUGGACUCGCGGCCUAUCAGCUUGUUGGUGAGGUAGUGGCUCACCAAGGCGACGACGGGUAGCCGGCCUGAGAGGGUGACCGGCCACACUGGGACUGAGACACGGCCCAGACUCCUACGGGAGGCAGCAGUGGGGAAUAUUGCACAAUGGGCGCAAGCCUGAUGCAGCGACGCCGCGUGAGGGAUGAAGGCCUUCGGGUUGUAAACCUCUUUCGGCAGGGAAGAAGCGAGAGUGACGGUACCUGCAGAAGAAGCACCGGCUAACUACGUG
rnacentral:rRNA from 1 species